rnacentral:rRNA from 1 species
AACGAACGCUGGCGGCAGGCUUAACACAUGCAAGUCGAGCGCCCCGCAAGGGGAGCGGUAGACGGGUGAGUAACGCGUGGGAAUCUACCUAUCUCUACGGAAUAACGCAUGGAAACGUGUGCUAAUACCGUAUACGUCCUUCGGGAGAAAGAUUUAUCGGAGAUGGAUGAGCCCGCGUUGGAUUAGCUAGUUGGUGGGGUAAAGGCCUACCAAGGCGACGAUCCAUAGCUGGUCUGAGAGGAUGAUCAGCCACACUGGGACUGAGACACGGCCCAGACUCCUACGGGAGGCAGCAGUGGGGAAUAUUGGACAAUGGGCGCAAGCCUGAUCCAGCCAUGCCGCGUGAGUGAUGAAGGCCCUAGGGUUGUAAAGCUCUUUCACCGGUGAAGAUAAUGACGGUAACCGGAGAAGAAGCCCCGGCUAACUUCGUGCCAGCAGCCGCGGUAACAC